rnacentral:rRNA from 1 species
GGGCCCGCACAAGCGGUGGAGCAUGUGGUUUAAUUCGAUGCAACGCGAAAAACCUUACCAGGCCUUGACAUCCAGAGAACUUACCAGAGAUGGUUCGGUGCCUUCGGGAACUCUGUGACAGGUGUUGCAUGGCUGUCGUCAGCUCGUGUCGUGAGAUGUUGGGUUAAGUCCCGUAACGAGCGCAACCCUUAUCCUUAUUUGCCAGCACGUAAUGGUGGGAACUUUAAGGAGACUGCCGGUGACAAACCGGAGGAAGGAGAGGAUGAUGUCAAGUCAUCAUGGCCCUUACGGCCUGGGCUACACACGUGCUACAAUGGGAAGUACAAAGGGUCGCAAUGCCGCGAGGUGGAGCAAA